UACGUAGGGUGCGAGCGUUGCCCGGAUUUAUUGGGCGUAAAGGGCGCGUAGGCGGUCACGCACGUCCGUUGUGAAAUCGCUCGGCUCAACUGGGCGGGGUCAGCGGAUACGGCGUGGCUGGAGCAAGCUAGGGGGCAAUGGAAUUCCCGGUGUAGUGGUGGAAUGCGUAGAUAUCGGGAGGAACACCAGUGGCGAAGGCGGUUGCCUGGAGCUUUGCUGACGCUGACGCGCGAAAGCGUGGGGAGCGAUCCGG
rnacentral:rRNA from 1 species